AGUUGUGGUGGUUUUCUUUCUGGCACAUUUGUUAAGUUUUCAAAUGGGCCUGACUCUGCCACAUAUAUUCUAUAGGAGCUGGGAAAGGCUUGAUGACAAAGAGAUUUCUCUCUAGCCUUUCCCGCAUCAGAGAUUGGCUCCCACAUGG
ensembl:snoRNA small nucleolar RNA SNORA12